UACACGAUGAAGAGUUUGAUCCUGGCUCAGGAUGAACGCUAGCGGCAGGCCUAACACAUGCAAGUCGAGGGGCAGCGGGGAGUGCUUGCACUCUGCCGGCGACCGGCGCACGGGUGCGUAACGCGUAUACAACCUACCUCUUACUAUUGGAUAGCCCAGAGAAAUUUGGAUUAAGCCAAUAUGGCACCACAUCACGGCAUCGUGUUUGUGGUUAAAGGUUACGGUAAGAGAUGGGUAUGCGUCCUAUUAGUUUGUUGGUAAGGUAACGGCUUACCAAGACUACGAUAGGUAGGGGCCCUGAGAGGGGGAUCCCCCACACUGGUACUGAGACACGG
rnacentral:rRNA from 1 species